rnacentral:sRNA from 1 species
ACACGAGAGAGGAGGUGGUUCGAAGUUGUAUGACUUAUGGACACGUGAGGUGGCUGCCCGCUAGCCGCACCCGCUGACGGUAUUCACCGGAAUCUCCGCGCGAGCGGCGGGCGAAUACCAGGUAGCUACCCGGCCCCCGAGCCCUCGGUCCGUCCAGACCGAGACCCGGUGCGCGUCUUCUCGCAAGAUGCCCACCCGGUACGGCUCGGGGGCCGCUUCCU